UACGUAGGGCGCAAGCGUUGUCCGGAAUUAUUGGGCGUAAAGAGCUCGUAGGCGGUUUGUCGCGUCUGCUGUGAAAUCCCGAGGCUCAACCUCGGAACUGCCUUCGAUACUGCGGGUCUCGAGUCCGGGAGAGGUGAGUGGAAUUCCUAGUGUAGAGGUGAAAUGCGCAGAUAUCAGGAAGAACACCCGUGGCGAAGGCGGCUCUCUGGGACGGUACUGACGCUGAGACGCGAAAGCGUGGGGAGCGAACAGG
rnacentral:rRNA from 1 species